GACACUGACACAAUGCCAGUGCCCCCAUGAAAAUGCAACCUCUCAGUUGAAUGCUGUGAAAUGUGAUCAAGAACAGAGCAAAGCAGGCCCAAACUUAAUAACAAAGGCAAAGAACUUUAUUAAGCUACUACCACUAUCACUACUAUAUAAGGAAAAAAAGAAAGAAAAGCACACACAAGAUCCAAAAUGAAAACCUUCCAAAACAUUCCUCCUCCCACCACCCAACUCCAACAAACCACAGUGAGACACAUUUGGACCCUUCAAUAUAAUCAAUACUAAGUCCAUCAGGGGAGAGAGGAGUCUCCCUUGCACCACAGACCCCCAGGAAACACAGCAUCCACUCCUUGUGUUUCCAUGUCACACAUGGCACCGCCCGGAGAAAAAAAGUUUGCCAGUGUGACCCUCUCCUUUCCAUGCACAGUGCUCUCACCACCAAUGCAUGGAUGGACAGACUGCUUUUAGGAUUUUUCCUUUCAAGGAUGCUCUGCCAAGAGGGGAAAAAACAACAGUUCAGUUUUUCUCUUUUUUUUUUUGGGAUCACAGUUCCCCCCAUUUUCUUCCUCCCCUGGGGCCGAGGGUCUCAGGAACAGAGAUCUUCUCUUCUUCUUCUCUGAAGACAGGGGGCACCACCACAAACCUCCCCAACUUUUCUCUGUUCACUCCACUCCUGCGUUUUCCUCAGCUGCUGAAGCAGGUCUCUUGGCUCACCAGCAUCCUCCUAAAAUGCAAUCUCUCUCUUGGAGGAGAAAAUCAGUUCAGACUAUGGCUAAAAAGAAAAAGUCCAGCCAGAAGCCACUCCAUCAUCUCCUUCCACCCAGAAUUUCUCCUUCUAACAUCUCAGGUCCUAGGCUGUCUCUCUUCCUCUCUUUCAAGCCGAGGAGGAGUAAAAUUUCACAAAGCUUUCAUUUCUCAAGGAAGGGUUAAAAGUCCCGACUCCCUGGCUGGCUCUCUGCCCGGAUCUCCGGCUCCCACCUGGGAGCUGGGCACCUUGCGGCCUUGCCCCCGCCCCACCCCAACCCUGCUCUCCUCCUUCCCCGCGGUACUGCUGGCAAACCGUCGCUGUCUCUUUCGAGAGAGAGACUCUGGGCGGGGGAUGAAACGGAGACGUCCCAGAUUUUUCCACCCUUCCAUCUGCAGGGGCCAGCCUGGUUCCAGUCCCUCCACCCUUCGGCCUUACCUCAGCCAGGCCGAGGGCCUUCCCCUCCCCCACCCAGCCACUGGCCGGGCAGGGGAGAGUCCUGCACUGCACCCUGAUGGGAACCAGAGAGAGCGAGUUCCCCUGGGAAUUCUGCUUUUAACCCCUCUGUAUUCUCAGAGGCGUGUCCACCCUCCAUUGGUCACCCCA
rnacentral:lncRNA from 1 species